rnacentral:rRNA from 1 species
UACGUAGGGGGCAAGCGUUGUCCGGAAUCAUUGGGCGUAAAGCGCGUGUAGGCGGCCCGGUAAGUCCGCUGUGAAAGUCGGGGGCUCAACCCUCGAAUGCCGGUGGAUACUGUCGGGCUAGAGUACGGAAGAGGCGAGUGGAAUUCCUGGUGUAGCGGUGAAAUGCGCAGAUAUCAGGAGGAACACCAAUUGCGAAGGCAGCUCGCUGGGACGGUACUGACGCUGAGACGCGAAAGCGUGGGGAGCGAACAGG